GGGAGCUCCAGCGCAGGCGCACUGGAUGCGGGGUCCUUAAGCUGUCCGCGGUCACGUGAAGGUGUCGCGGCGGCUACGCCCACCUGGACCCAGUUUACCCUGUACUGUGCUGCAAAAUAUUACUUUCUCCCCAUCUGGAAUUCUUCCCUUCCUCCUUCCUGCCGCAGUGGUGUACUGAGCACUUUCACGUAAGAGUAUUCCUCCACUCGAACAACCCCCCGGAGAAGUACUGGUGUCACUGCCACCUGCGAGAGUUUGCGGCUACCUCCCCAAGAGGCAGUCCCAGGGUUAUUGUGACCUAUGAUGUUUAUUCAACUACUGUUGACGGGCUGCUGUGCACAGGGAACCUAGUAGGCAAGACCCCUGCCAUCGUGCAGCUUACUGUCAGGUUGACACAGACCUUAAGAAAGAACAAAAUUUUAAAUAAAUUAAAAACGACACCUGUAAUUUGAGAAGAUGCUUGAUAUCAGAAGAGGAGAAGAGUGGAGAGGGGUGGAGUGGCAAAGGAGAGCCUCCAAACCAAAAGCCUGCGGCAGAGGCCCUAGGAGGCAAGCACUUAACCAUGUUUCAGGACUAGAAACGAAACAUGUGACAAGACCUUUAAAAACAAAUAGAAUGGGAUGGAAUAAAGUUGGAUGAGUAAGCAGGCAUCAAAUCAUUCAGAAACUUGUUGUCCAAGUUGAAGAAUUUGUUUAGUAUUGUAUAAUAAAUGCAGAGGAAGCUAUAUACACUUAUAAUUUACAUUUUUUAAAGGCCACGUUGUAGCUCAAUCGGAUAGUUUGUCUUUUGAUGGGAUGUAGUAUACAGUAUCAUCAUGGUAUAUUCCAGGCAAAAAUAUUUAACUUGAAUCUGUCAAGCCUUUGCAUCUAACACAGUUUAUAAAAAAUACAACAGAUAGAUGAACAAACUAAAUGAUGCCAGAGGAAGUAACUAGACAGAUCCAGAAGGUGAAACAUUCUGCAGGAUAACUGGCCCAUCUCUUCAACAAUUUGUCAUGAUAAAAGCAACUGCUUUAUGAAAAGAAAUUUAAGGGACAUAACAGUUUGAAUUGGAUCCUGGUUUGAACAGACUGUCUAUAAAAUGCAUUUUCAGGACCAUUAAAGAAAUAUGAAUGUAGAUGGACUGAGUAUUGGAUAAAAUAGAACUGUAUUGCCAUGGAAAAGAUCAUUAACUGAAAAGAGCAAGUCACGAAAUAGUAUGUUACAGCAUCUCAUUUUGGUUUAAAAAUGCACAUAUAUGUAUUUAUGUACAACUAAAAAAAUAGUGGGCUUAUACCCUAAGGUGUUAGUAUUGGUAAUCUUUGGAAGUGGAAAUGUGUAUUUUUUUCUUUGUGUUUGCCUAUCUUUUUCAUUGUAACUUUUGCAGCACAUAGACUACUUUCAUUAUAGUAAAAGUUUAUUUUACCACAAUUUUUUUUUUUUUAGAAAGAGUCUCACUCUGUCACCCAGGCUGGAGUGCAGUGGCACAAUCUCAGCCCACUGCAACCUCCACCUCCCAGGUUCAAGCUAUUCUCCUGCCUCAGCCUUCUGAGUAGCUGGGACUACAGGUGCACACCACAUGCCUGGCUAAUUUUUGUAUUUUUAAUAGAGACUGGAUUUCGCGAUGUUGGCCCGGCUGGUCUCGAACUCCUGGCCUCAAGUGAUCCACCCGCUUUAGCCUCCCAAAGUGCUGGGAUUACAGGCGUGAGCCACUGCACCCGGCCUAUUUUACCACAAUUUAUAAAAAUUUUUGUUUAUUUUAAUUAAGCUAUUCUAUGUUAAAAUAAGUAGCCACCCUUGGCUGAUGCAUAAAGAAAAAAUUAGAGGAAGGAAAGAAUGGAGGCAAGGAGGCAAAUCAUGAGACCAUUUCAGAAAUCAAGACGAAAUCAGGAAAGCUAACAUUAGCAAGAGUGAACCAAACUGAUAAUAUCUUUGAGUUUAAAACUGAAGAAUUUACCAAUGAACUGCAUAGGAAAGUAAAGAAAAGAGAGUGGUCAAGAUAGGUCCUGGUUUUGGGGCCUGAACAUCUGAGUGGUUAGUAGAAUCAUUACCAGUUGAUAACCCAUGGAAGAGGGUGGGGGAUGGGUGGUGUCUUGUAGGUUGGUUGACAGGACUGACCCAUUGGGAAGAUAACGAAGAAGCAAAGUAUAUGAAAAGAGGAGAAAGGGUAACCAGAGGAGGGAGGAUACAAAGGGAGUGAUUAGCCAUCAGAAAGAUGAGGGACAUGACAUUUGUUGAGGCAGAUGGCGGAGAAAAGAAAGUUAACAUAGAUGUGGUUAGUUUUGUGGCAUUGACCAAAGGAAGAUUAAGGUGAUACUAUCUGAUGGCUUGGAAUGAAAACCAAACUCCCUGCCACAACAUGAUGAUCUUUCUCUGCAACUUCAUAUUUUGCCUCUUGUUCCUCAUUUGUUACCACUGAGUCACAAUGGUCUUUUUAGUUUCUCAAACACACCAAGAUCUUUCUUGCCUCAUGUGACCUAGAAUGUUUUCUCCCUUUCUUCAUAUCUCAGUUGAAAGGUCUCCUCUCCUCAUCAUCAUACUAUCUAAAGUAGAUUCCCUCCCUUGUUAACCUCUAGCGCAGCCAUUAGUUCCUUCAUAACACUUACCCUAACUUGCAAGUAUUUUGUUUGUUGAUAUAAUUUUUAUCUGACUUCCCCACUAAAAUGUAAGCUCCAUGAGGGCAAAAAUUGUGUGUUUUGUAUACUGAUGCAUCUCUAGCACUUGGUAUAGCAGGCAUUCAAUAAAUAUCAUUAAAUAAGUUUCA
rnacentral:lncRNA from 1 species